rnacentral:tRNA from 1 species
GGAUCCAUCAGUUCAUAAAGAACAUUGAAUUGUUUUCAAGGGUAUAAAUUUUUAAUGUUUAUAUGGGUUU